GUUGAGGUAGGAGGAUCACUUGAGGCCAGGAAUUCGAGACCAGCCUGGACAACAUUGCAAGACCUCAUCUCUACAAAAAAUUUUAAAAUUAGCUGGGCUGGUUAUGCAGGCUUGUAGUCUCAGCUACUCAGGAGGCUGGGGUGGGAAGAUUGAGCCCAGGAGUUCAAAGCUGCAGUAAGUUGUGAUCAUACCACUGCACUCCAGCCUGUGUACCAGAACAAGGCCCUGUCUCCAGAAAAAAAAGUGAUGAUGUAGGACAUAAGGUGGAAGAGGAACUAUGAAGGGCCUUAUAUUCCAGGCUAAAAAUUAACUGACCACAAUUAAGGCUGCCUAGGGGAAUAAUGAAGUAAUCCUCCUAUUAUCAGCAAUGGUCUGAUCCAGUGCCAGGCACCACAGACAACUUGGUGUUCAGAGAAGAUCCUUCAAGAUGAACAAAGGGUCAAAAUAAAAAAUUCUAGAAGAGAGAAGACUGAUCACAAUUUAAUUAGGUGCUGACGUCAUAAGCCAAAGCAGGAGAGACCCAGACUCUGUGGACAGGCAGUGUGGACCUAGACUGCCUGGGUUUGAAGCCUCACUCUGCCAAUCACCAGGUGUCCCACCUUUUCCAAGUUACUUAACCUCAUCUCCAAGACAUGCCCAAUCACAAAGCCUACUUCAUAAAAUGGAGGGUUAAUUAAAUUAAUGUUCAUGAAGCCUUUAGUGGGUACGUGGUAAGCUCAAUGAUUAUUAGUUAAUAAUAUCCUUAUUAAACGUCCAGUAAGUCUUUUUUAAAUGUUAUUUUCUUUGAGAAAGGGUCUCACUCUGUCACCCAGGCUGGUUUGCAAUGGCACCAUCAUGGCUUACUGUAGCCUAGACCUCUUGGGCUCAAGCAAUUCUCCCAUCUCAGCCUCCCAAGUUGCUGGGACUGCAGGUGUAUGCCACCACACCUGGCUAAUUUUUGUAUUUUUGGUAGAGACAGGGUCCACCCACCUUGGCCUCCCAAAGUGCUAGAAUUACAGGUGUGAGCCACUGCACCCGACC
rnacentral:lncRNA from 1 species